rnacentral:rRNA from 1 species
UCGAGAAUUUUUCACAAUGGGCGCAAGCCUGAUGGAGCGACGCCGCGUGGGGGAUGAAGGGUUUCGAUCCGUAAACCCCUGUCAUUUGCGAACAAACCUUGAAGCAUAACACGUUUCAAGCUGAUUGUAGUGAAAGAGGAAGGGACGGCUAACUCUGUGCCAGCAGCCGCGGUAAUACAGAGGUCCCAAGCGUUGUUCGGAUUCACUGGGCGUAAAGGGUGCGUAGGUGGCCAGGUAAGUUCGGUGUGAAAGCUCGGAGCUUAACUCCGAAAUGUCAUUGAAUACUAUCUGGCUGGAGGGUCGGAGGGGAGACUGGAAUUCUCGGUGUAGCAGUGAAAUGCGUAGAUAUCGAGAGGAACACCAGUGGCGAAGGCGAGUCUCUGGACGACUCCUGACACUGAGGCACGAAAGCCAGGGGAGCAAACAGGAUUAGAUACCCCGGUAGUCC